rnacentral:rRNA from 1 species
CAGAGGUGGCAAGCGUUGUUCGGAAUUACUGGGCGUAAAGGGCGCGUAGGCGGUCUUGCAAGUCCCCGUGUGAAAUCCCUCGGCUCAACUGAGGAACUGCACGGGAAACUGCUUGGCUUGAGUUCGGGAGAGGGAAGCGGAAUUCCGGGUGUAGCGGUGAAAUGCGUAGAUAUCCGGAGGAACACCGGUGGCGAAGGCGGCUUCCUGGACCGACACUGACGCUGAGGCGCGAAAGCUAGGGGAGCAAACGGGAUUAGAUACCCCGGUAGUCCUAGCUGUAAACGAUGAGUGCUGGGUGUAGAGGGUAUUAACCCCUUCUGUGCCGAAGCUAACGCAUUAAGCACUCCGCCUGGGGAGUACGGUCGCAAGGCUG